UUCAAAUUAUUUAGUGCUAAUAAGAGGAAGAGAAACACGUUUUUUAAUAAUAUUUUUAUAAGUCUCCUAUAGGAACAUGCAUGAUGUUGAACAUUGCUGCUGAAGGUGAACGCGCAAUAAGAACCACAUGCUGGUUGGAAAUGGAUUAGUAUAUACCCAAACAAAUAGGUGAACAGGACGACUACCCGGGAAUGAUGAAUGACGCUGUACAUGGAUGGUCAACCCAACAUUUACCUGCUUUGACGUUGUUAUCAUCUGAACUAUGAGUGAAGACAUGUAUGGAAAAUAUAUAAUCAUAAUUGAACAAAAUGUUAUAAACAGUGAGGAGAUCGAGGAACAUGUAGAAGUAAAAAUCAUAUUUGUAAUUUUAUUAGAAAGAAGGAGAGAUGUAGUAUUGUGUAACAGAUUGAGUCAGAGUAGGCUGCGUCUAAGGGACUGUCAGAUAUGAUGCGUAAAUAAAGUCAUUGUUCAUUAAUA